rnacentral:rRNA from 1 species
UAGAGAGAGACAUGCGCGCAUAUCAAUAAGCGGAGGAAAAGAAACUAACAAGGAUUCCCCUUAGUAACGGCGAGUGAAGCGGGAAGAGCUCAAAUUUGAAAUCUUCAAGGUUUUACCUUGACGAAUUGUAGUUUAAAGAAGUGUUUUCUGCUGAAGUUUUGGUAAAAGUUCUUUGGAAUAGGACAUCAUAGAGGGUGAGAAUCCCGUAUUUGACCAUUAUUUUCAGCUUUGUGAUACACUUUCAAGAGUCGGAUUGUUUGGGAAUGCAGUCCAAAAUGGGUGGUAAAUUUCAUCUAAAGCUAAAUAUUGGCGAGAGACCGAUAGCGAACAAGUACCGUGAGGGAAAGAUGAAAAGAACUUUGAAAAGAGAGUUAAACAGUACGUGAAAUUGUCAAAAGGGAAGCGUUUGACACCAGUGUUGUUUUCUCGAAAAUCAAUUAAAAAUGGCUCGAUUUUGUAUUGCUGAGACCUUAAAAGCUCACUGUACAUUUUUCGUGUCUUUUUUAAUGCACUUUUCGUUUAACAAGUCAACAUCAGUUUCUUUUGUUGUAAAAGGGUCAUUGGAAGGUGGCUUUCUUUUCGGAGAAAGUGUUUAUAGCCUUUGGCCUCUGCAAUCGGAGAGACUGAGGUCUGCAGCGUAGACUCUUCGGGGUUAGAUACAUUUGUGCUAAGUUAUAGCUUUUUAUAGACAACUUGUUGACUAUAAUUAGUCUUGUAGCUUACUCGCUUAUACUAUUUUACCUACGCUUAGGAUGUUGAAGUCAUCGUAUCGCGC